ACGGGGUGCAGCAGGCGCGAACACUUUACAAUGCGGGAAACCGCGAUAAGGGAACCCCGAGUGCCAGCAUCAAAUGUUGGCUGUCCAGAUGAUUAAAAAUCAUUCGUUAGCAAGGGCCGGGCAAGACCGGUGCCAGCCGCCGCGGUAACACCGGCGGCCCGAGUGGUAGCCGUUUUUAUUGGGUUAAAGGGUCCGUAGCCGGCCUGAUAAGUCCUUUGGGAAAUCUGGCAGCUUAACUGUCAGGCUUCUAAGGGAUACUGUCAGGCUUGGGACCGGAAGAGGUAAGGGGUACUCCAGGGGUAGGAGUGAAAUCUUGUAAUCCCUGGGGGACCAUCUGUGGCGAAGGCGCCUUACCAGAACGGGUCCGACGGUGAGGGACGAAAGCUAGGGGAGCAAACCGGAUUAGAUACCCGGGUAGUCCUAGCUGUAAACGAUGCUCGCUAGGUGUCAGACACGGUGCGACCGUGUUUGGUGCCGCAGGGAAGCCGUUAAGCGAGCCACCUGGAAGUACGUCGCAAGGC
rnacentral:rRNA from 1 species